UCUUCCUCUAUCCCCUCUUCCCCUCUCCAUAAAUACCCUUGACUGUCACCGGCCAUCCUAAUAUCGUCGAGACCCUCUCCUCUAUCUGCUCAACCAAAAUCCAAUGCCACCUACCACCAGUGAAACCCCAUCAACCUCAUGCCUCCACUAGCCACGAUCGAUCCACCCACCGGUUGAAAUAGACGGUGUUGCUGUUCCAUUAUCUUGCCUAGUGAAAAUCCAGUAGAACCAGAUCUAAACGUCACCAAAAGAAACAAACUCAAUUCCACUAGCGGAUCCAAUAAGAUCCCAGCUACUAGUCGCCGUUACACUGAAGCUAUGCAGCCAACAAAAUCAAUCCAGUCGCCACUGACGAAUCCCACCGGAGAGAAACCAUCCAGCAACUUAUCUUCUCUUCUAUGUUCCCUUCUCCCCCUCUCAGGGGAGAAACAACAUGCAUAAAUGACUACUUUUUGCCCUGUUAGCUGUGUAAGACGCCCAAAUCUCAUCGAAAUACGAUGGGUUCUUACGAACCCAUCUCAGGUUUAGAUGUCAUAUUCUAUUUUUUAUUGUAAAAACCUUUUUUUCUCUUCUCUUAUUAAUUUUUUGUUUUUCUUGAUCUGAAAUUUAAAAAGUGUGAUUAUGAGUAGCGUUAAAUCCCCUUGUGAUUUAUGUUUGUCUAAUCGUCUAUGUAGUCAUACGUGAGAACUCCC
rnacentral:lncRNA from 1 species